rnacentral:ncRNA from 2 species
GCUUUCGAGGAGCGUUGCGACGGGUACCGCGAAUUCUUAUUCGCCGGCCGCCCGCCAGGCUCGAAGGCUUCAAUUCGGAGGACCAGGCUGCGCAUCUCGCGCCGAUCCUUCGCAUCAAACCGCGCUCACGUCAC